UGCUGUCGUAUCUCAUUAAUUCAAAUUAUUCACAGUUAUUGUAGAUAGUGGCAGGAAAGAUUUCCUGUAGCAAUCAGUAUUGCAACAAAUUUGAAGAAGCUUCUGAUCAAAGACGCUCUGAUUUUCUAUGACAGUCUCAUGAAGAGAAUGCCUAAGCCUCUUCAGACCCACAGCCUGCCACAGAACAUUUCUCUGAACAUCAUCAUUCACAAACAGGAUUAAAAGAGAGGCUUCUUUGUGCCGAGGCGUCUAUCUGCAGCAGCAGAUGUUGCCGAUGGCCAACCAGCUGAAGACGCAUCACUAUAAACAUCUGAAAGAAAGAAUAUUUCUGAGGUUUUAUCCAACACAAAGCGAGCCACUACGCAUCCUGACAGAUCUGGAGCGACACACAUUAGGACUCAAACAGGAUGCAGCUCAAGGGAGUUUCAGUACAAACAUCUCACACCGCUGAGCGCCACUUGGGCCAACGCUCUGUUCACACACCCCUGUGGACCGUCAGAUGGUGUUAAAGGGGUGGUAUUGUGGAUUUUCCAGGGAGUGCGCCAUUUUAUUGCACAACCAGCCAAGUAAUGUUACCUCUGGAU